GUGGGCAUGGGCCCUGUCAAAGAUGUGGACAUCAGAGAGAGGGAGGCAGAUGGCAGGGAACUGUUGUGUCUAAUGAAGUCUGGGCCGUUGUUGUUGACCAUGUGGUAAACAACGGCCUUAUCGUGGCAGAGGCGGCCAGAUACAUUCACCCCAAUCUGAAAAGAUCAACUGUCAAUUCGAUCACAAGAACAUUUCGCCAAGAAAACCAGCAAGUCUGCAGGAUAUGCACUAUACUUUUUGUUUCUUGGUAUUUUAUUAGGAUCCCCAUUAGCUGUUGCAAAAGCAGCAGCUACUCCUCCUGGGGUCCACACAAAACAUGAAACAUAAUACAGAAUGACAUAAUACAGAACAUCAACAGACAAGAAAAAGCUCAAGGACAGAACUAUAUAAAAAUUGUUGAAAGGCACUCGUAGCCUACAUAUCAAUACUUUACUGUUACAUUUACAGUAAAUGACAUUCUAACACAUGUAAAUUCACAAAACAUGUUACAGUAUUCUUACACUAUGAUCUAUUGACAGUAUACUCUGUUUUACCUGCAGAAUUGACAGAAGACCACAUGGUGGUGGCCGUGUGCUGACCGACCAGCAGUAGUGGGCAGUGGUGGAAACGGUGAAGCCAGGAAUGACAUAUUGCUGUCGGAAAUGACGCUGGCCCAUUGAGGAGAACGUUGACACCAACAAUCACCCGCCUUUUGAAGAGGCACCAGAGAGUGAUGGUGCUUGAUGCUGGUUCAACCUGGCCAAAACUCAGCACUGUGGGCAGAAGCUCAUCGGCCAACAGGCGACCCUCCAAGUGCCUGGACAACGUGGGGGGAUGUGUGCACUUAUCUCCUAAAAUGUGGCAGAACGUAGGCCAUUACUUGGAUCCUGCAACAGUGCACAAUAAAGUUCAGUAGGCCAA